CUUCAUCAUGUUAGCCAUCAUGGCUUCCAAUGAUGUAGUUUGCUGAGGGAUAGGGGCACUAUAUGUAGGAAUAGGUGGAGCCAAUGAUUGGUUUAUUUGUGAUGGACCUAUCCUGGAAAAAUUUUUCUAAAAACCUGGUGGACCACCUUGAUGCUGAAUAGGUUCAUUUUGCUUGUAUGAGAAAUUUGGGUGGAACCUAUUAUCAGGGUGGUAGACUGGGCUGAAUGAAUU
rnacentral:lncRNA from 1 species